AGGAAAUAGAGCUAGACUCACUGCAGUGGAAAGAGACUCAGCUUGGAAGAUGUGAGCAAUCCAACCUCUCUGGAUCAUUCAUACACAAAACCAUUGGACAAGGGACACAGCCUGAGGCCAAGAGGCAUGGAGAGUCUCUGAAGAAUGAAUUGUUUCAUCAGAAUUUACAGAAAUUCAGAGGACCACUGUCCCAGGACUCUUGAGCAGAGGCCCAGGACCACUGCCACAACUCCAGACUGCCUCUGGCCACUCCAGACUGCCACUGGCUGCACAGGGAUCUGGAUCCCCAUGGCAGAGGUGCCCAUGCUAUAAAGGC
rnacentral:lncRNA from 1 species